rnacentral:rRNA from 1 species
UACGUAGGUGGCAAGCGUUGUCCGGAUUUACUGGGCGUAAAGAGCGCGCAGGCGGUCGUUCAAGUCGCGUGUGAAAGCCCCCGGCUCAACUGGGGAGGGUCACGCGAUACUGAUCGACUCGAAGGCAGGAGAGGGUAGUGGAAUUCCCGGUGUAGUGGUGAAAUGCGUAGAUAUCGGGAGGAACACCAGUGGCGAAGGCGACUACCUGGCCUGUUUCUUGACGCUGAGGCGCGAAAGCUAGGGGAGCAAACGAG